GACGAACGCUGGCGGCGUGCCUAAUACAUGCAAGUCGAGCGGAGUUAGAGAAGCUUGCUUCUCUAACUUAGCGGCGGACGGGUGAGUAACACGUGGGCAAUCUGCCCGUAAGACUGGGAUAACUCCGGGAAACCGGGGCUAAUACCGGAUAAUCCUGACUCUCUCCUGAGAGUCAGUUGAAAGAUGGUUUCGGCUAUCACUUACGGAUAAGCCCGCGGCGCAUUAGCUAGUUGGUAGGGUAAUGGCCUACCAAGGCGACGAUGCGUAGCCGACCUGAGAGGGUGAUCGGCCACACUGGGACUGAGACACGGCCCAGACUCCUACGGGAGGCAGCAGUAGGGAAUCUUCCGCAAUGGACGAAAGUCUGACGGAGCAACGCCGCGUGAGUGAAGAAGGUUUUCGGAUCGUAAAACUCUGUUGUUAGGGAAGAACACGUACGAGAGUAACUGCUCGUACCUUGACGGUACCUAACCAGAAAGCCACGGCUAACUACGUG
rnacentral:rRNA from 1 species